UGGGUGAUCUGCCCUGCACUUUGGGAUAAGCCUGGGAAACUGGGUCUAAUACCGAAUACACCUCAUGGACUGCAUGGUUUGUGGGGGAAAGCUUUUGCGGUGUGGGAUGGGCCCGCGGCCUAUCAGCUUGUUGGUGGGGUAAUGGCUUACCAAGGCGACGACGGGUAGCCGGCCUGAGAGGGCGAUCGGCCACACUGGGACUGAGACACGGCCCAGACCUCCGUACGGGAGCA
rnacentral:rRNA from 1 species